rnacentral:rRNA from 1 species
CCAGACUCCUACGGGAGGCAGCAGUGGGGAAUAUUGGACAAUGGACCGAGAGUCUGAUCCAGCAAUUCUGUGUGCACGAUGAAGUUUUUCGGAAUGUAAAGUGCUUUCAGUUGGGAAGAAAAAAAUGACGGUACCAGCAGAAGAAGUGACGGCUAAAUACGUGCCAGCAGCCGCGGUAAUACGUAUGUCACAAGCGUUAUCCGGAUUUAUUGGGCGUAAAGCGCGUCUAGGUGGUUAUAUAAGUCUGAUGUGAAAAUGCAGGGCUCAACUCUGUAUUGCGUUGGAAACUGUGUAACUAGAGUACUGGAGAGGUAAGCGGAACUACAAGUGUAGAGGUGAAAUUCGUAGAUAUUUGUAGGAAUGCCGAUGGGGAAGCCAGCUUACUGGACAGAUACUGACGCUGAAGCGCGAAAGCGUGGGUAGCAAACAGGAUUAGAUACCCUGGUAGUCCACGCCGUAAACGAUGAUUACUAGGUGUUGGGGGUCGAACCUCAGCGCCCAAGCAAACGCGAUAAGUAAUCCGCCUGGGGAGUACGUACGCAAGUAUGAAACUCAAAGGAAUUGACGGGGGCCCGCACAAG